GUUAGUUCAGACUUCAUGGAACUCCUGGUUCCUUGUCCGGGCUGAGUCACACCUGGCCUGGAGUGUACCUGUCUGGACAAGUUCCUUCCCACCAACUGCGGCUUGGGACCAAGAUGGAGGCCUAGCUCCCCCUGCUGGGGACCACAGGGAAUCCUGUCCAUCCUCCCAAAGGCAGGCCUCAUCUCUCUGUUGUGUAAAAGAGUUCCUCGUGAAUCUUUGGACUCACCUCAAGCUCCACCCAGAGGCCAAUCUGACAUCCAGGGAACCCCCUGAGAUACAACACAGUGAUUACAGGACAAGGGUUUGGAGCCAUGUCGACUGGGACCUGGAACCAGCUCAGCAAGCCCGUGUUACUUCGGGCAGCCUGUUCACCCUCUUGACCUCUGUCCUUGUGCCCUGGAGCUGUAUGGAAAUGGACCGCAGCAGGCAGUGAUGUGGGGGAAUGGGGGCACGUGCCAAAGGCCAGGGAUGAUAAAGGAUAAACACAGUAUAUGUUGCUGGAGUCUUAAUUUUAUCAGCAA